AUUGAACGCUGGCGGCAGGCCUAACACAUGCAAGUCGAGCGGAUGAAGGGAGCUUGCUCCUGGAUUCAGCGGCGGACGGGUGAGUAAUGCCUAGGAAUCUGCCUGGUAGUGGGGGAUAACGUCCGGAAACGGGCGCUAAUACCGCAUACGUCCUGAGGGUGAAAGUGGGGGAUCUUCGGACCACACGCUAUCAGAUGAGCCUAGGUCGGAUUAGCUAGUUGGUGGGGUAAAGGCCUACCAAGGCGACGAUCCGUAACUGGUCUGAGAGGAUGAUCAGUCACACUGGAACUGAGACACGGUCCAGACUCCUACGGGAGGCAGCAGUGGGGAAUAUUGGACAAUGGGCGAAAGCCUGAUCCAGCCAUGCCGCGUGUGUGAAGAAGGUCUUCGGAUUGUAAAGCACUUUAAGUUGGGAGGAAGGGCAGUAAGUUAAUACCUUGCUGUUUUGACGUUACCAACAGAAUAAGCACCGGCUAACUUCGUG
rnacentral:rRNA from 1 species